UAUGGCCAUAUCACAUUGAAACACCAGUUCUUGUACAAUCACCAAAGUUAAGCAAUAUCAGGCUUGGUUAGUACCUAGAUGGGUGACUGCUUGGGAAUAACAGGUGCUGUAA